AAAUGACUCAAAGAUAGCUGCAUCGACAAAGCCCACCCAGCAUGGGUGACAGCUCACAAAAGUUGGAACUUAGAGAAACUGCACAGCCUGUAGAUGGCUCAGAGGGCUCAAGAAUGUCCUUUCCAUGUGCCUCAGUUGGUCUAAACUUCCUCCAGACAGGUGGUAUGAGGGUGACUCUUUUGAGAGUCUUCUUGGCAGCUCAGCUGCCUUUUAUCUGAGACGGACUCUCAGCUUUUACUGCUCUCUGGCAGAGAAGGAACCUAGUGAAUUUGAUCAGUUUCAGGGACCAUUUUUAGAUCUUUUGAGUUGUCUUCCUGCCUGAUGAGCUUCCUUUUAUAGCAAAUGAAGGGUGGAGUGGUUUAGUGUUUCAAUAUUGGAGGAAACUUGAGAAGCUGGAACCAAUUAACUAAGGAUCAAUCACAAAGAGAAUAAAUAAAAUCUCACCAUUGUCAAUAGGAUCUAUUGAGAAAGAUACACCACAACUUCAGUUUCACUCCUAGCAAUAACACAAUACCUGAACCCCCCCCCCCUAGAAAACAGUAGGCAGAAUUCAAUUGUAGCUGUAGUUACGGAGGUGGGUGUUUUCUGUGGGUCCUGGAAUCUGAACUCCAGCCACCAUGAUUAAACAGCAAGUACUUUACUCUCUGGUUCGUUUCAACCCCCGUCCCUUAUCCACCUUGAGCAUCUCUUUGAUCUACUCUCAAAGGUAUGGAGAUAUUUUUACAAAAAUGUGAGAAAAGAGUGGCGACACAUAUUGUUUUGUUUUUUUUUCCCCACUGAUAAUGUUAACAAAAUGUGCACAUUUAUCUAUACCAAUGUUUUACUGUAAGGAAAAAAAAUGUGUUUUUUUUUUUCUGG
rnacentral:lncRNA from 1 species